CGCCUGAUUUGCAUCUCAUUUACAUACCGCGGGAAGCUCUGAAAAUGGCGUCAUUUUCUCGGUGGCUGAUUCCGAUUCCGGUGGAACACCUGUACUAAAGAGCUGCUGGUUUCCUACAGAGCUGCUCACCUGGAGCACGUAUCCCCGGAUGUAGUCCUGCAGAGUCCAGUCCAAGGCGUUCAGGAUCUGGAUCACCUCCUCCUGCUUCAGCACGGAGAACAGGCGGUCCAGCAGGAUCUUCAGGCGGAUGGGGAUGGCCUGCGUGCCGUACAGCAUCAGGCUGCAGAUGUCGAACACCACGUUGGAGUGCACAAUCUCCACCUGGCUGCUCUGGUACAGGGAGCGCUGUGGCCGGGCUGCAGGUGUGUCCACAGGACUGCAUCAUUUAUGAGGCUCUGCAGGCUGAAGACUACCGAGAAAACAACAAUUCUAUGGGCUGAUGCUGAAGUCUUUCAGACCGUCUGGAAUGAGCUGGUACCUCGUCAGUAUUUAUUCUGGUCGAAGGGUUGCUGGAGCCUAUCCCAGCCACUUUUGGGCGAAGAUGAGGUACGCCCUGGAGGAGCCGCCAGUCCAUCGCAGAGCUAACACAGAAUCCAAGGACGAGUUUGUGGGCCGAGAACAGAAGAGGAGCUGCCUACCAAAGGAGAGGCUGAUAAGAGGAGGGGAGGAUGGAGGAGCGCUGGAGGAACCGGCUCUAAACACACAAAGGGGGGUGGAGAUGUGUUUGGAUGAAAGCAUCGGGGGAGGGGGACCUGCAGGACACGGCCCAACAGGAUGACCUGUGACCUCUCCUCCUGCCAGAGCCGCUCGGAGGAACCGGGGGCUGUGGAGCUGCGGUGUGCCGGGGCCCUCAGCAGUGUCAGAUAGCUCGGGGCCUUUUCAAAUGUAUUUUUCAAAAGUGUGGGGGAUCAAUAAGUUGGUGUGCAGAGCAGCAGCUGCAGAAACACCAGUCUGUGAUUUUUACUUUGCUGUGAGGCAGAAGGUGUUCGGAGCUCUUGUCAAAGGAGAGCCUCCAAAGCUCCCAGACAAAAAGAAGUCAAUAAACGAGCCAGAGUCACUUUCUGCAAUCAGGAGCGUCUUCCUGCUUCUAUUUAACACUCUCAGGAAACGCAUGCAGGAGGGAACACGCCUCCCCCGCGUGGACGCAUCGCCACCAAGCCAAAGCGUCUCUGCUCACUGAUUCAACGGGAUGUUUCAGGCGGAGAAGCUGAAGGAUUCAUUCACACGAUGGAGGAGGUUUCCCUGAAGCCUCGGACAUUCUAGGCUAAAACUACAAGAUGUUACGAUGAAAACUGCCCCCCCAACACACGCUCAGCCUCAUGAAGAAAGACAGGAAGAAAGCUGGAGGCUUCAGUCGCUGCUCAGCUCUUGACCCGGGUGCUGGUGUUUGUCCAGCCGCUCCUCCAGGUCGCUGGGAGGUUCCUUCAGAACCCAAAUGAGAAGAAACUGGAGGCUGAUGAGCUUUAAAGCUUCCACAGACGAGAAAGACGGCAAACAUCCGAACUCCUGCUCCACAAACGCUGGUUCUGAAGAAGGCAGAACUGAAGGAGGAGGAACCCAGUUCUGGAUCAAACCUCCAGCCUUCCUGAAGCUCCUGAAGGGGGCGCUGUCCUCUUGGAUUUCAUCCCAACCAAAGGAGUUUUGUUUUUCCAGGAGCAGACGUGGCUCAGGCUUUUAUUUUGGAAUUCUGCGGUCACAGCUGAUUCAAAGCCCAUCAGGACGUCUGUGGAAUCACACUGACAGCCGUGUCGUCCUCCUCGCCCACGUUUCCCAUCAUGCACUCCUCUCAGAGACAAAGCGGGUAAUUGGAUUCACGCUGCGUUUGUAAGGAGGAGCGGGGCAGAGGCGUCCGCGCUCCGCGGGCCGGCCCGUGGCGUCCGGCGUGAUGCUGAUGCUGAGGUGACCCCGCCCGUCAGAGGUCACGGAGAGGAACA